CGAACGGGUGAGUAAUACAUCGGAACGUGCCCAGUCGUGGGGGAUAACUACUCGAAAGAGUAGCUAAUACCGCAUACGAUCUGAGGAUGAAAGCGGGGGACCUUCGGGCCUCGCGCGAUUGGAGCGGCCGAUGGCAGAUUAGGUAGUUGGUGGGAUAAAAGCUUACCAAGCCGACGAUCUGUAGCUGGUCUGAGAGGACGACCAGCCACACUGGGACUGAGACACGGCCCAGACUCCUACGGGAGGCAGCAGGG
rnacentral:rRNA from 1 species